GACGAACGCUGGCGGCGUGCUUAACACAUGCAAGUCGAACGGGAUUUAGUAAACAGAAGCCUCGGUGGAAGAUUACUAAUGAGAGUGGCGAACGGGUGAGUAACGCGUGAGCAACCUGCCUAUGACAGUGGGAUAGCCUCGGGAAACCGGGAUUAAUACCGCAUAAAAUCGUAGAAACACAUGUUUCAACGGUCAAAGAUUUAUCGGUCAUAGAUGGGCUCGCGUCUGAUUAGCUAGUUGGUGAGAUAACAGCCCACCAAGGCGACGAUCAGUAGCCGGUCUGAGAGGAUGAACGGCCACAUUGGAACUGAGACACGGUCCAAACUCCUACGGGAGGCAGCAGUGGGGAAUAUUGCACAAUGGGGGAAACCCUGAUGCAGCGACGCCGCGUGAACGAAGAAGGUAUUCGUAUCGUAAAGUUCUGUCCUAUGGGAAGAUAAUGACAGUACCAUAG
rnacentral:rRNA from 1 species